GAGGGGUGGCGGCGUGCUUACACAUGCAAGUCGAACGAUGAUGCCCAGCUUGCUGGGUGGAUUAGUGGCGAACGGGUGAGUAACACGUGAGUAACCUGCCCCUGACUCUGGGAUAAGCGUUGGAAACGACGUCUAAUACUGGAUAUGAUCACUGGCCGCAUGGUCUGGUGGUGGAAAGAUUUUUUGGUUGGGGAUGGACUCGCGGCCUAUCAGCUUGUUGGUGAGGUAAUGGCUCACCAAGGCGACGACGGGUAGCCGGCCUGAGAGGGUGACCGGCCACACUGGGACUGAGACACGGCCCAGACUCCUACGGGAGGCAGCAGUGGGGAAUAUUGCACAAUGGGCGAAAGCCUGAUGCAGCAACGCCGCGUGAGGGAUGACGGCCUUCGGGUUGUAAACCUCUUUUAGUAGGGAAGAAGCGAAAGUGACGGUACCUGCAGAAAAAGCACCGGCUAACUACGUGCCAGCAGCCGCGGUAAUACGUAGGGUGCAAGCGUUGUCCGGAAUUAUUGGGCGUAAAGAGCUCGUAGGCGGUUUGUCGCGUCUGCUGUGAAAUCCCGAGGCUCAACCUCGGGCUUGCAGUGGGUACGGGCAGACUAGA
rnacentral:rRNA from 1 species